GGUUGUGGCUCAGUGGCAGAGUGCUUGCCUAGCAUGUGUGAGGCAUUGGGUUCAAUUCUCAGCAGCACA
rnacentral:tRNA from 1 species